rnacentral:rRNA from 1 species
GAGUUUGAUCCUGGUUCAGGACGAACGCUGGCGGCGUGCUUAACACAUGCAAGUCGAACGAUGAUGCCCAGCUUGCUGGGUUGAUUAGUGGCGAACGGGUGAGUAACACGUGAGUAACCUGCCCUUGACUUCGGGAUAACUCCGGGAAACCGGGGCUAAUACCGGAUAUGAGCCGUCCUCGCAUGGGGGUGGUUGGAAAGUUUUUCGGUCAGGGAUGGGCUCGCGGCCUAUCAGCUUGUUGGUGGGGUGAUGGCCUACCAAGGCGACGACGGGUAGCCGGCCUGAGAGGGCGACCGGCCACGCUGGGACUGAGACACGGCCCAGACUCCUACGGGAGGCAGCAGUGGGGAAUAUUGCACAAUGGGCGAAAGCCUGAUGCAGCGACGCCGCGUGAGGGAUGAAGGCCUUCGGGUUGUAAAUCUCUUUCAGCAGGGAAGAAGCGCAAGUGACGGUACCUGCAGAAGAAGCGCCGGCUAACUACGUGCCAGCAGCCGCGGUAAUACGUAGGGCGCAAGCGUUGUCCGGAAUUAUUGGGCGUAAAGAGCUCGUAGGCGGUUUGUCGCGUCUG